rnacentral:rRNA from 1 species
GACGUAGGGCGCGAGCGUUGUCCGGAUUUAUUGGGCGUAAAGAGCUCGUAGGCGGCUCGUUGCGUCGGCUGUGAAAACCCGCAGCUCAACUGUGGGCUUGCAGCUGAUACGGGCGGGCUGGGAUUCGGUAGGGGAGACUGGAAUUCCUGGUGUAGCGGUGAAAUGCGCAGAUAUCAGGAGGAACACCGAUGGCGAAGGCAGGUCUCUGGGCCGAUACUGACGCUGAGGAGCGAAAGCGUGGGGAGCGAACAGG